rnacentral:rRNA from 1 species
UACGGAGGGUGCAAGCGUUAUCCGGAUUCACUGGGUUUAAAGGGUGCGUAGGUGGAUUAGUAAGUCAGUGGUGAAAUCUCCGGGCUUAACCCGGAAACUGCCGUUGAUACUAUUAAUCUUGAAUAUUGUGGAGGCUAGCGGAAUAUGUCAUGUAGCGGUGAAAUGCUUAGAUAUGACAUAGAACACCAAUUGCGAAGGCAGCUGGCUACACAUAUAUUGACACUGAGGCACGAAAGCGUGGGGAUCAAACAGG